AACGCAAAUUGCGCUCGAGGCCUCCGGGUCGAGAGCAUGUCUGCCUCAGCGUCGCUCAUACCCAAUCGACUCCUCCAUUUAAUGGAUGCCGAGUCGGACCUGGCCGUCCGGUUGAAUAGCCGGUCGGCUGAAAUGUAUGCUCCGCUCCUAACCUCCCUUCAAUGGGAAGGGGUCAGCCGGUAAGCAUGAGCAUCUCCAAUUGGAGACGACUCAGCCUGCCGUUGAACUCCGGUCGGAAGCUGUAGGGAGCCACAGGAAACAAUCAAAUAUCGACCUGAGAUCAGGCAAGGACACCCGCUGAACUUAA
rnacentral:misc_RNA from 1 species